rnacentral:snoRNA from 10 species
GGCCUCCUGGUACUUACCCACAGGCUGCGUUCUUACACUGGCUGUACAGAAAGAGGAGCUAGAGUAAACCUACCUAAUAUACACCUCAGCCCAGGCCCUGUGCCUGGUCUGUAUUGUGAAUGGGGGGGACAUAG